rnacentral:rRNA from 1 species
UACGUAGACCACAAGCGUUAUCCGGAUUUAUUGGGCGUAAAGCGUGUGUAGGGGGUCCGAUGCGUCCUUGGUUAAAGCCCACCGCCUAACGGUGGAAGUGCCACGGAUACGGUCGGACUGGAGGGUGUUAGAGGUGCAUGGAACACAUGGUGUAGGGGUGAAAUCCGUUGAUAUCAUGUGGAACACCAAAGGCGAAGGCAGUGCACUGGGACAUUCCUGACCCUGAGACACGAAAGCGUGGGGAGCAAAAAGG